GGGGGCAUGCUGUUUCCUUUAUUCAUGGAAAGAGCUACAAAGAGUUUUGUCGUGAACGCUGUUGGAUGCCUGUGCGUGUCAACAUUCUCGGAGCCGCAAGUCCGCCAAGGUGAGGUGUUUUCAUACCACGGACCUGCAGCCAAGACUGUCAAUCCGAUUGGGCAGACAACCUCGCCUCCCCAGACAGGACUCCAGAGGUGUCCUGUGUGCUGUCCCAGCAAGGAGAGCAACAAAGCUGAUGGCGGGAGGGUAGCCCGCCCGCUGUGAGUGAAGCUCCGACCUGACUUCACCUCCUCCCGGCAGAGUCGGGCCAGAGCCCGACGGUCUCCAGUGGUCCCCAUGGCGCGCCACGCACACACGGCCUCUAGGCUACUAAAAGAGGAAGUCGGGAUGUCAUAUCAAACGGAUAAAGACAGUCCGACCACAGAAGAGCCGCGGUCUGGGCCGGUCUCCGGCUUGGCUUGGGGAGGGGUCCCAGGCUGCGAGCCUUUCUCCCUCUCGGUCCAUCUCCGCAGGGACAGGCUGGAGGCGCCCAUGCUGCGCAGCACGAUCGUGAAGACGAGCAAAGAACCAAAGACGACCCUUGCUGAAGAUCUGACUCAGAAGACCUGAGCAAAAGAUCUGUCGUUAGUGAUGCAAGAAGAUCCAGGAAAUCUGUGUAAGGUCUCUGCCCAACCCAGGGCAGACUGCUCCUGUUGCAUCUGUGAGGCCGUUCGUUGCAGCUGCUGUUGACCAAGUUGCUGGGACCAUGAUGGUGUAAUGGUUACAAAGCUGGACUCCCGUGUAGU